rnacentral:tRNA from 2 species
GCGGGUGUAGCUCAGUCGGUUAGAGCGCUAGAUUGUGGAUCUAGAGGUCGUGGGUUCGAUUCCCAUCACUCGCCCCA